rnacentral:rRNA from 1 species
CCUACGGGAGGCUGCAGUCGAGAAUCAUUCACAAUGGGGGAAACCCUGAUGGUGCGACGCCGCGUGGGGGAAUGAAGGUCUUCGGAUUGUAAACCCCUGUCAUGUGGGAGCAAAUUAAAAAGAUAGUACCACAAGAGGAAGAGACGGCUAACUCUGUGCCAGCAGCCGCGGUAAUACAGAGGUCUCAAGCGUGGUUCGGAAUCACUGGGCGUAAGGCGUGCGUAGGCUGUUUCGUAAGUCGUGUGUGAAAGGCGCGGGCUCAACCCGCGGACGGCACAUGAUACUGCGAGACUAGAGUAAUGGAGGGGGAACCGGAAUUCUCGGUGUAGCAGUGAAAUGCGUAGAUAUCGAGAGGAACACUCGUGGCGAAGGCGGGUUCCUGGACAUUAACUGACGCUGAGGCACGAAGGCCAGGGGAGCGAAAGGGAUUAGAUACCAGAGUAGUC